ACAGAGGUCCCAAGCGUUGUUCGGAUUCACUGGGCGUAAAGGGUGCGUAGGUGGUGGGGUAAGUCGGAUGUGAAAUCCCCGGGCUUAACUCGGGAAAGGCAUUGGAAACUACCCUGCUGGAGGUUCGGAGGGGGGACUGGAAUUCUCGGUGUGGGGUUGGCUGGCGGAGAACUGAAAAGGAGAAACGGUAGCUGUGGGAGGAAACAGGACAAAACCGCCUGCUAAUCCAAGUAAGGGAGUGGGCCAAAAAG
rnacentral:rRNA from 1 species